GUAGGGAAUAUUCCGCAAUGGGCGAAAGCCUGACGGAGCAACGCCGCGUGAGUGAAGAAGGUCUUCGGAUCGUAAAGCUCUGUCAACAGGGACGAAACAAGACGGUACCUGAGAAGGAAGCCACGGCAAACUACGUGCCAGCAGCCGCGGUAAUACGUAGGUGGCAAGCGUUGUCCGGAAUAACUGGGCGUAAAGCGCAUGUAGACGGCAUGAUAAGCCAAAUGUGAAAUGUAGGGGCUCAACCCCUACACGGCGAUUGGAACUGUCAAGCUUGAGUGCAGGAGAGGCAAAUGGAAUUCCCAGUGUAGCAGUGAAAUGCGUAGAGAUUGGGAGGAACACCAGUGGCGAAGGCGAUUUGCUGGACUGCAACUGACGUUGAGAUGCGAAAGCCAGGGGAGCAAACGGGAUUAGAAACCCUAGUAGUCC
rnacentral:rRNA from 1 species